rnacentral:misc_RNA from 1 species
UCCGGUUCUUACUACCAGCAUGUCGAACCUGGGUAAGGUUCUUCGCGUUGCGUCGAAUUAAACCACAUGCACCACCGCUUGUGCGGGUCCCCGUCAAUUCCUUUGAGUUUUAACCUUGCGGCCGUACUCCCCAGGCGGUCAACUUCACGCGUUAGCUUCGUUACCAAGGAAUAACUUCCCCGACAACUAGUUGACAUCGUUUAGGGCGUGGACUAC